UACUUUUUACUCAUAAGCAUAUUUUAUAUAAUCGAUAAAAAAAGGGUUAUGUUUUCCCUUACAAGCUACUAGUUGCUUUUUACUCACGCGGAAGCCAAGAAGCUCAAACACAUCUUUCAAAAAGUUUUCCACAGACAUCUAUUCAAGACGAAGCCAUGUGUUCACGACUCCUUAUCCUUGUUGUGCUUGUUGUGCUGAUUGCAGCAUCAGUAGCAUUGCCUAUUAAUGAUGAUGCUGAAGAAAGGUACUUAAUGAAAAGAGUGGGUUGCAAAUGUGGAAGCCAUAGCGGAACAUACUGGUUCUUUCACAUAGCAGGCUGUCCAUCUGGACAUGGCUAUACAAAGUCGUGUAACUAUCUGGCUGGAAAAUGUUGUUAUAAAUAAAAAUAAAUAAAUAAAUAAAUAAAAGUAUACCCAGCAGUAUUCUAUGAUUCAGGAACAUGCUAAGAUAAUUGAUCUAUGUCAAGUGUAAUGUGAUAACAAGAAAAUGGAUGAAUUAUUAAACCAUCGAUAUAUGUUA